GGUCCGGUCCUAGUCCGGUACCGGAACCACAAGAAAAUCGGUAUUUCUCGGUUUUUUAGCCGAACCGGCCGGUACGGAGCCCGUACCGGUCGGUACCGGUCGAUACCGCUUAGUACUGGCCACCGGUACGAUUUUUUUUUUUUAAGAACCACAGCGCCUUGCGCUGUGGUUUUUGAAACCACCGCGUACCGGCCGGUACAUACCGGACCGGAUCGGUACCGUACCGGUCCGGCCGGCCACCGGUACGCCGACCAGUACCGGUACGGCGGACCUUGGUCCCGCCUCAUCCCAAUGGCAGUCUCGGUUGAGAAUACCAUAGGUAUCUUCCAUCUCACUCCAUCUUCUUUUCUUUCCGUUCUUUUCUUUUUCUUUCUUUCUUUCUUUUUCUUCCUUCUUUCUUUUUCUUAUCCCUUCUUUCUUUCCUUUUUCUUCUUCUUCUCUCUUUCCAUUCUUUCUUCUUUCCUUC
rnacentral:lncRNA from 1 species